rnacentral:rRNA from 1 species
GUCCUUAGUUACCAGCACGUUAGUGGUGGGCACUCUAAGGAGACUGGCCGGUGACAAACCGGAGGAAGGUGGGAUGACGUCAAGUCAUCAUGGCCCUUACGGCCUGGGCUACACACGUGCUACAAUGGUCGGUACAAAGGGUUGCCAAGCCGCGAGGUGGAGCUAAUCCCAUAAAACCGAUCGUAGUCCGGAUCGCAGUCUGCAACUCGACUGCGUGAAGUCGGAAUCGCUAGUAAUCGUGAAUCAGAAUGUCACGGUGAAUACGUUCCCGGGCCUU